GUGCUCGCUUCAGCAGCCUAUGUACUAAAACUGGACCAGUACAGAGAAGAUUAGCAUGGCCCCUGCACCAGGAUGCCACACAAAGUUGUGAAGCAUUCCACAUUUGU
ensembl:snRNA U6 U6 spliceosomal RNA